rnacentral:rRNA from 1 species
GACGAACGCUGGCGGCAUGCCUAAUACAUGCAAGUCGAACGAUGAUAUCACUGCUUGCAGUGAUUGAUUAGUGGCGAACGGGUGAGUAACACGUGAGGAACUUGCCCAUGAGCGGGGGACAACAUUCGGAAACGGAUGCUAAUACCCCAUAGGUGGAUUGGUCGCAUGACUAAUUCAUUAAAGGUGGCUCUGCUACCACUCAUGGAUAGCCUCGCGGCGUAUUAGCUAGUUGGUAAGGUAAUGGCUUACCAAGGCAGUGAUACGUAGCCGACUUGAGAGGGUGAUCGGCCACAUUGGGACUGAGAUACGGCCCAGACUCCUACGGGAGGCAGCAGUGGGGAAUAUUGCACAAUGGGCGCAAGCCUGAUGCAGCGACGCCGCGUGGGGGAUGACGGCCUUCGGGUUGUAAACUCCUUUCGCCAGGGACGAAGCGUUUUGUGACGGUACCUGGAGAAGAAGCACCGGCUAACUACGUGCCAGCAGCCGCGGUAAUACGUAGGGUGCAAGCGUUGUCCGGAAUUACUGGGCGUAAAGAGCUCGUAGUGGUUUGUCACGUCGUCUGUGAAAUUCCACAGCUUAACUGUGGGCGUGCAGGCGAUACGGGCUGACUUGAGUACUGUAGGGGUAACUGGAAUUCCUGGUGUAGCGGUGAAAUGCGCAGAUAUCAGGAGGAACACCGAUGGCGAAGGCAGGUUACUGGGCAGUUACUGACGCUGAGGAGCGAAAGCAUGGGUAGCAAACAGGAUUAGAUACCCUGGUAGUCCAUGCCGUAAACGGUGGGCGCUAGGUGUAGGGACCUUUUGGGGUUUCUGUGCCGUAGCUAACGCAUUAAGCGCCCCGCCUGGGGAGUACGGCCGCAAGGCUAAAACUCAAAGGAAUUGACGGGGGCCCGCACAAGCGGCGGAGCAUGUGGAUUAAUUCGAUGCAACGCGAAGAACCUUACCUGGGCUUGACAUACACUGGAUCGCUGCAGAGAUGUAGUUUCCCUUGUGGCUAGUGUACAGGUGGUGCAUGGCUGUCGUCAGCUCGUGUCGUGAGAUGUUGGGUUAAGUCCCGCAACGAGCGCAACCCUUGUCUUAUGUUGCCAGCACGUUAUGGUGGGGACUCAUGAGAGACUGCCGGGGUUAACUCGGAGGAAGGUGGGGGCGACGUCAAGUCAUCAUGCCCCUUAUGUCCAGGGCUUCACACAUGCUACAAUGGCCGGUACAAUGCGCAGCGAGCCUGUGAGGGUGAGCUAAUCGCUUAAAGCUGGUCUUAGUUCGGAUUGGGGUCUGCAACUCGACCCCAUGAAGUCGGAGUCGCUAGUAAUCGCAGAUCAGCAAUGCUGCGGCGAAUACGUUCCCGGGCCU